CGGCCUGAGAGGGCGACCGGCCACACUGGGACUGAGACACGGCCCAGACUCCUACGGGAGGCAGCAGUGGGGAAUAUUGCACAAUGGGCGAAAGCCUGAUGCAGCGACGCCGCGUGAGGGAUGACGGCCUUCGGGUUGUAAACCUCUUUCAGCAGGGAAGAAGCGAAAGUGACGGUACCUGCAGAAGAAGCGCCGGCUAACUACGUGCCAGCAGCCGCGGUAAUACGUAGGGCGCAAGCGUUGUCCGGAAUUAUUGGGCGUAAAGAGCUCGUAGGCGGCUUGUCACGUCGGUUGUGAAAGCCCGGGGCUUAACCCCGGGUCUGCAGUCGAUACGGGCAGGCUAGAGUUCGGUAGGGGAGAUCGGAAUUCCUGGUGUAGCGGUGAAAUGCGCAGAUAUCAGGAGGAACACCGGUGGCGAAGGCGGAUCUCUGGGCCGAUACUGACGCUGAGGAGCGAAAGCGUGGGGAGCGAACAGGAUUAGAUACCCUGGUAGUCCACGCCGUAAACGGUGGGCACUAGGUGUGGGCAACAUUCCACGUUGUCCGUGCCGCAGCUAACGCAUUAAGGC
rnacentral:rRNA from 1 species